rnacentral:other from 1 species
GACACCCUGCAGUGUUCGAGGUGCUUUCAAUAACUGCUCUUUGCCUUUGAAAUAACACGGGAGCCGCGAAAUCGACGGUGGAUGCUAGGCCGUAAAUCGGAAAGCAUGAAGCCGUCUAGUGGCGCCCACCUUAGCUUAAAAAGGUCUUGAGCCUUUGAGUACACGGCACAGGUGGGGUGUCU